GGAGCUUUAUCCGGAUCCUUGUGGUUGGACUCCAAUCCAGGGAGUUUCAUGUGACCUCUUCGACGAGCUAUGGUAUGUAACUGUUGUCAGCAUCGGUCCGAUCUUGGAUAAUUCUCUCCAGUGUAAUCAUGAUGCCAAGUUCAACAAUGACCUUUUCAAGCUAAGGCAUAUGAGGAGCCUCACUUUCUUCAACUGUUUCUCUUCUAUCAGUCAGCCCAC
rnacentral:misc_RNA from 1 species